rnacentral:rRNA from 1 species
GACGAACGCUGGCGGCGUGGAUUAGGCAUGCAAGUCGAACGGUAGGAUCCUUUCGGGGAUCUGAGAGUGGCGAACGGGUGAGUAACACGUAGGUGAUCUACCCUCAAGACGGGGACAACCCAGGGAAACUUGGGCUAAUACCGGAUGUGAGCUAUCGCGAGAUAGUUUGAAAGGUGGCUUCGGCUGCCGCUUGAGGAUGAGCCUGCGUCCUAUUAGCUAGUUGGUGAGGUAACGGCUCACCGAGGCAGUGAUAGGUAGGCGGCCUUAACGGGUGGUCGCCCACACUGGGAUUGAGAUACGGCCCAGACUCCUACGGGAGGCAGCAGUCGAGAAUAGUCUACAAUGGUCGAAAGACUGAUAGUGCGACGCCGCGUGAACGAAGAAGCCCUUCGGGUGUAAAGUUCUUUUAUAUGUGAGCAGUGACACCCAUAUUAAUAGUAUGGGUGUAGAGAUAUUAGCAUAUGAAUAAGCAACGGCUAACUCCGUGCCAGCA